rnacentral:rRNA from 1 species
CGGGUGAGUAACGCGUGGGUAACCUACCUUAUACAGGGGGAUAACAGUCAGAAAUGGCUGCUAAUACCGCAUAAGCGCACAGAGCUGCAUGGCUCAGUGUGAAAAACUCCGGUGGUAUAAGAUGGACCCGCGUUGGAUUAGCUGGUUGGUGGGGUAACGGCCCACCAAGGCGACGAUCCAUAGCCGGCCUGAGAGGUUGAACGGCCACAUUGGGACUGAGACACGGCCCAG